rnacentral:rRNA from 1 species
GUGGGGAAUCUUGCGCAAUGGGCGAAAGCCUGACGCAGCCAUGCCGCGUGAAUGAUGAAGGUCUUAGGAUUGUAAAAUUCUUUCACCGGGGACGAUAAUGACGGUACCCGGAGAAGAAGCUCCGGCUAACUUCGUGCCAGCAGCCGCGGUAAUACGAAGGGGGCUAGCGUUGCUCGGGAUUACUGGGCGUAAAGGGCGCGUAGGCGGACAGCUUAGUCAGAGGUGAAAGCCCAGGGCUCAACCUUGGAAUUGCCUUUGAUACUGGCUGUCUUGAGUUUGGGAGAGGUGAGUGGAACUCCGAGUGUAGAGGUGAAAUUCGUAGAUAUUCGGAAGAACACCAGUGGCGAAGGCGACUCACUGGCCCAAUACUGACGCUGAGGCGCGAAAGCGUGGGGAGCAAACAGGAUUAGAAACCCCUGUAGUCC